GCAGUCGUGGCCUAAUGGUUAGCGAGUCAGACUUGUAAUCUGAAGGUCGUGGAUUCGAGUCUCAGGUCCGGCA